GCCAACGAGAUAGAAGCCCACCCCAAACCUCAUACCCCACAAAGAUGUUUGGCUCCUCUCUUUCUCAGCUCUCUCGUGGUGAAAAUUUAGAGAAUUGUUGGUGCACAAAAGAUCAUAUCUUUUAUGGUUGCCGCACAAGUAAGGUAGGAUGAGAUAAGAGUCCAAUUAGGUUUGAAUUCAAACUUCCUUUUGAAUCCAAACUCUAACACCCUUAUCCCCAUCCAUA
rnacentral:lncRNA from 1 species